GCCGAGGGGCAAGUCAUUCAGUCAGCAUGGGCGCGCGCGCCCUUCACAACAACGUGUGUCUGUGUGCGCGCGUGCGCGUGCGUGAAUGCGCGAAUCGAUGAGAUACGCGCUUGAUUGGGUCUCCCUUGUUUGUAAUAAUGUACAUGAGGAGGAGGCGGCGGCGGAGGAGGACCAGCCUGCUUCCAGGCAGCGCACGGAUCAGCCGAGCGCCGGCGCCGCGCUGUCAGGCACUUCCCCGGCUGCCGGCGGCGGUCUCCGGAUCAGUGGAUGUAAGGUUUUUGUGGAGAAAACAGAAGAUCAAGGAAGAGUUCGAACGUCGGAGGGCAGAGAGGUGGUCGAGUGCUGGACGAGCCACUGGUAGGUGCUCUUUCUAAAGAAGCAACAAGGAGACAUUACUGUUCCACCACUGAAAGGGAAGGUCAGCAUUGCAGCAAACUCGAAGAAAAUCCUACGGAGAAGAACAGUCUGGUCUGCAAGGAAGGAACAUAACCAAGGCGAAACCCACUCCUCUAACUACUGCUCCUUAACGAGGGCUGGUGAAAACCAAUCACAUCCUGAAGAGGAAGAAGCCUCAUGAAGCUGUUGAAGCUGUUCAUCGGACAUGAGAUGAAAUCAACAUGCUGACGAAGUUUGAGACACACACGGGUACAGCUCACCUUUUCAGCAGAUCAGACACGACACAUCUGCAUGUUAAGUGAAAGCUUUACUCCUCCGCUUCCACAGAACACUCCGGUCUGUCUCUCUCUCACAGUCUACGUCAGCCAUCACUUUGUCUUCACAUUCAUGUGGAGGCCAACUUUCAUGCAUCUCACAUCAGAUUACCUCAGAUUCACACACAUUGAAAACAUCGGCUUUAUCUUUUAGGCGACGGGAGAGAAGGUGCUGUUGGGAACAGGAGGACUUGACAGGGGCAGAGAGGAAGUACACAGGAAGUACAUUAGUUAUCACUCCAUUGUCUUCUCCACCUUUUCAGUUCUCAUCACCACCUGACAUCUCAGACUUCCCGACCCCGUCCUUUUCUCUCUCCGUGUCUCGAUUUCUCACACACAUGCCUUUAAAAGUGACUGCCGUGCUCCAUUUAAAUGUCGGGCCUUGAAAUGUAGGUGACACAAAGCAAGCUGCGGGAGCUGCAAGACAGUCAAAUGAAAUAUUUAAAUGAAACAUUGUGAGGUAAAAUAGAGGGGAAGUGGAAAGAGAAUAAACAAAUGGAAAAUAUUCCAUUUGAAAAUUGAAAUUGCAGUAGAUUAGAAUGUGACUGAACAAGAUUAAAGCCUUUUAAAAUGG